CUCACACUUGCUCAGCUUUUUAUACAACUUCUUUAUUCUGAGGACCUGUAAAACCUGAGUCAGAUGAUGAGCG
rnacentral:pre_miRNA from 1 species